rnacentral:rRNA from 1 species
AACGAACGCUGGCGGCGCGCUUAACACAUGCAAGUCGAACGAGAAGGCGUAGCAAUACGCUUGUACAGUGGCGAACGGGUGAGUAAUACGUGGGCGACCUACCCUCGAGUGGGGAAUAACCCGCCGAAAGGCGGGCUAAUGCCGCGUACGCUUCCAUCUUUAUGGAGGUGGAAGGAAAGCCGUGCCGUGGGCACGGCGCUCAAGGAUGGGCUCACGUCCUAUCAGCUUGUUGGAGGGUAACGGCCUACCAAGGCUCCGACGGGUAGCUGGUCUGAGAGGACGAUCAGCCACACUGGCACUGCGACACGGGCCAGACUCCUACGGGAGGCAGCAGUGAGGAAUAUUGCGCAAUGGGCGAAAGCCUGACGCAGCGACGCCGCGUGGGGGAUGAAGGUCUUCGGAUUGUAAACCCCUUUCGGGAGGGAAGAUGGGACGGGCAACCGUUCGGACGGUACCUCCAGAAGCAGCCACGGCUAACUUCGUGCCAGCCGCCGCCGUAA